rnacentral:rRNA from 1 species
UUCAAAGUCAAAGUCUGCGUAAUCUCGUCAGUUCACAGAAGCUAAGCAAGGCCAGGUCUGGUCAGUACUUGGAUUGGAGACCACUGGGAAUAUCAGGUGCCACAGAGG